rnacentral:rRNA from 1 species
GUGGGGAAUAUUGCACAAUGGGCGAAAGCCUGAUGCAGCGACGCCGCGUGAGCGAUGAAGUAUUUCGGUACGUAAAGCUCUAUCAGCAGGGAAGAUAAUGACGGUACCUGACUAAGAAGCACCGGCUAAAUACGUGCCAGCAGCCGCGGUAAUACGUAUGGUGCAAGCGUUAUCCGGAUUUACUGGGUGUAAAGGGAGCGUAGGCGGCGUGGUAAGUCAGAAGUGAAAGCCCGGGGCUCAACCCCGGGACUGCUUUUGAAACUAUCAUGCUAGAGUGUCGGAGAGGUAAGUGGAAUUCCUAGUGUAGCGGUGAAAUGCGUAGAUAUUAGGAGGAACACCAGUGGCGAAGGCGGCUUACUGGACGAUAACUGACGCUGAGGCUCGAAAGCGUGGGGAGCAAACAGGAUUAGAUACCCGUGUAGUCC